GUGGGAGAGUACAACAGAAUCAGUUGACACGUUCCCUGCCCACAACAAGCUUUUUCACUUCCAUGACUUUUCUAGUAUCCUUCCUUUCCUAGUAUCCCUUCUCUAGUAUCCAAAUGACUACCAUGCUCACUGGUCCAAGAACUGGUGGCUUUUGUUAAAGGCUAACUGUAUGCCACACACUGUUCUUAACACUAGAUACAAGUUAAUUAGGUUGGACACAGUUCCUGUCCCACAUGGGGCUCACAGAUGCCCAGUUAGGCAAUAUGACAGCUUUCGGAGCAGGUAUCCCCCUCAAGACAGUCAGCAGCAGGAGCCUAAUUGGAAACUGGGGAAGAACAGGAACAGGAAUUUCUAAGCCAGUUGUAGGAAUUUGGGCUGGAAAGGCAUAGCUCUACCCAGACUGUCUCCACCUAUGCUGUCAUGGUCUCUUGGACUGCUCCUGCAUCCAUCUUGUCCAGAACUGUCAAUUAGGAGGCAAGAGAACAAUGAAGCCAAUCCUUGUUGAUCAAGAUUGGUGGAAAGUCCAACCCCAGCAAAGAAGAUUAGGUCCAUGAGGGAGUAGCCACUGUCAGCUCACUCACCAUAAGCCGCCAAAAUGUUCCAGUCCCAAUACUGACCUGCAGUCUGCUCAGCUGUGGUCGCCUGGUCUAUUGUCCUCUACUUGAAGGUAGCAGUAGCAGUAGGUCAUUCCUGUAGAAGAAUGCUGCACCUAUACCACAACUACAGCAUGCAAAGCAGGGAGCCAGACUCCCAAGCAGAACCAGCCAAUUUCAUCAGGGCCAGAAACUGUCCUGUGAAGUAGAAAGCAGGAACAAAAGGAGAUGGGAGCAGUCUGGAGCUAAUGGGAAGUGGGGAUCAGCUCAAUAAUGCCUAUGCCUGAAUUCCAAAGGACCACCCAAGGGACAACUCGACUGUUGUGCUCUUCAUCUCAGUUCUUAGUCUUCCUAACCAGUAGGGCGAGUUUGAGCUCCAACAUCCCAGAGGCCUGGUCCUCCCAGAGGAAGAUGGAGAGUGUCCUGUGAUCUGCAUUCUUAAUGGAUUGUGGAUUUUAUGGUAUUUGGAGGAGACUGAAUGGGUUGAGUGAUAUCUGAACCUAGUAAAGCUGGGGAUUUUCAGGAGACUGGGGGUGGAGGACAGGCAGCAGUAGGGGAAUGAGGAUUCACGUUGGCUAUUCAUCAGAGUUCUGUGAGACUGAGAAGAACCUGUGUGUGCAGGUGGUCUUCUUUUAUGACCUGGAUGUGCAUGGACUGUGGAGGGCUGAAUUUGGUGAGUGGGUUUUAGAUUGUGAAUAAAGGGCAGGAUCACUGAGCCCAUACUAACUGAA